rnacentral:rRNA from 1 species
UACGUAGGUGGCAAGCGUUAUCCGGAUUUAUUGGGCGUAAAGGGAACGCAGGCGGUCCUUUAAGUCUGAUGUGAAAGCCUUCGGCUUAACCGGAGUAGUGCAUUGGAAACUGGGAGACUUGAGUGCAGAAGAGGAGAGUGGAACUCCAUGUGUAGCGGUGAAAUGCGUAGAUAUAUGGAAGAACACCAGUGGCGAAAGCGGCUCUCUGGUCUGUAACUGACGCUGUGGUUCGAAAGCGUGGGUAGCAAACAGG